AUUGAACGCUGGCGGCAGGCCUAACACAUGCAAGUCGAGCGGAUGAGAGGAGCUUGCUCCUCGAUUCAGCGGCGGACGGGUGAGUAAUGCCUAGGAAUCUGCCCAGUAGUGGGGGACAACGUUUCGAAAGGAACGCUAAUACCGCAUACGUCCUGCGGGAGAAAGUGGGGGAUCUUCGGACCUCACGCUAUUGGAUGAGCCUAGGUCGGAUUAGCUAGUUGGUAGGGUAAAGGCCUACCAAGGCGACGAUCCGUAACUGGUCUGAGAGGAUGAUCAGUCACACUGGAACUGAGACACGGUCCAGACUCCUACGGGAGGCAGCAGUGGGGAAUAUUGGACAAUGGGCGCAAGCCUGAUCCAGCCAUGCCGCGUGUGUGAAGAAGGCCCUCGGGUCGUAAAGCACUUUAAGUUGGGAGAAAGGGCUUACAGCGAAUACCUGUGAGUUUUGACGUUACCGACAGAAUAAGCACCGGCUAACUUCGUGCCAGCAGCCGCAGUAA
rnacentral:rRNA from 1 species